CUAUAGACACAUUAUCUUUCUGUUUGACUUAUUUGGUUCUCAUUUUAUGUAAUUAUUUUAGAUAUUUGGCAAAAUUUGGUUUUACAUCUAUGUCAAGUUUCCUUUUUUGAAGAGUAUAUAAAGACAAAGGUAGAGUCAAAUAUCAGGCAUUUGUGAGAUUAAAAUAAUACUUUGAAAAUAACCUUUUAAUAUCAGCUAUAGUUUUUUGCUUUCAUAUCAUUUUAAUGUUUCUUGAAUGAUAUUAUUGCGUUCAUACAACAGAAACUUUGUUGAACAGUUUCCUAUUUCAGGAGCAAAGAAAACCAGCGCCACCAAUGUGCCUAUUGUAGCAAAGUAUAUACUACUUACGUACCUCUAGAAGUCACAGAACUGAUAAUUGAAUAUAAACACUUAAACAGAUAACGCAGAUGGGUUCAUUGUGAUGGACUGCCGGAAACAGUAGACAAGUCGACACAGAGCACACGGCUGUCAUCUCCACAGUAGUUUGAAGUAACUGAGGCUUAUCUCCGCCAUUCAGUGUUAAAACUGCCUCAGUGUGUACAGGUGCCUAUAUAAAGAAGCUCUGUCUGUCCUAGCUUCAAGGAUGCCUGCCACUGGAGGAACCUGGUCUCAGCAUGAGACGUUUAAAGUUACCAUCCAACAUGGGAUAUUUGUAACACAAAAAAUAAUCUUUGCUGAUGCUGUUGUCAUUAAUCCUAUUCUGUAAAUGGCUUGCAAAAACAGUUAAAUGUGUUACAGAGUUGCUGUUCAAAAUGUAGUUAAUCUGAAUAAAACCAAUGCUGUAGGUUUUAGAAAAGGUGGUAUUGUUGCAAAACAUGAAAAAUGGUUUCUUGGUUCGUCUACCUUGAGUAUAGUCACUUACUAAAAAUAUUUAGGUCUUAUGUUCUCCUCUAGAUUGUCAUGAUCUAUGGCAUGUAAGCAAUUAGCUGUUUAGGCGUCGAAAGCCAUUAAACCUCUUUGUAAUUUAUUCAGGAAAAAUAGUUUUGUGUCUUUUUCCACAGCAUGUACCAUUUUUUAUACUUUUGUAUGGUUCUGAUAUAUGGGGUGCUAAGUUCACACUUCAUAUUUCAAAUGUUUUCUCGGUGUUGGUAAGUUUGCCUCAAACAAGGCAAUCCUUGGUGAAACAGGCCUAAGGAAUAUACUGAACCAAAUUAAAAACUUCACAAUCCUAAAAUUUUAACAAUUUGAGCAGUUAUCAUUGUUGGCCCUUAUUGUGUAUUUAAACAGUAAUGGCCACGUAAUGUCUUCAGAUAACACCCGUUUUUGUGCAGGUGAAUCGAUCAAAAUCAAGUGCACAACACUAUAGUGGCAAAAGUGUUUUUUC